rnacentral:rRNA from 1 species
UCCGUAGGUGAACCUGCGGAAGGAUCAUUAAUGAAUU